GUUUAAAUUUCUUUAAGUUUUUGAAACUUAUUUUUAUUUUUCAAAAA
rnacentral:tRNA from 1 species